rnacentral:rRNA from 1 species
AUUGAACGCUGGCGGCAUGCCUUACACAUGCAAGUCGAACGGUAACGCGGGGCAACCUGGCGACGAGUGGCGAACGGGUGAGUAAUGUAUCGGAACGUGCCCAGUUGUGGGGGAUAACUGCUCGAAAGAGCAGCUAAUACCGCAUACGACCUGAGGGUGAAAGCGGGGGAUCGCAAGACCUCGCGCAAUUGGAGCGGCCGAUAUCAGAUUAGGUAGUUGGUGGGGUAAAGGCUCACCAAGCCAACGAUCUGUAGCUGGUCUGAGAGGACGACCAGCCACACUGGGACUGAGACCCGGCCCAGACUCCUACGGGAGGCAGCAGUGGGGAAUUUUGGACAAUGGACGCAAGUCUGAUCCAGCCAUGCCGCGUGCGGGAAGAAGGCCUUCGGGUUGUAAACCGCUUUUGUCAGGGAAGAAACGCUCUGGGUUAAUACCUCGGGGUAAUGACGGUACCUGAAGAAUAAGCACCGGCUAACUACGUGUCAGCCGCCGCCGUAACAC